UUAUUUCAUACACACAGGGCUGAAAGUGUCGUAUUUCAAAAUUAAAAUUUUCUAGUACACAGGAAGAAAAUGAUUGGAAACAAGAGGGCCUCUUAGGCAUAUUGAGGUGCAGUUGGGAACACUGAAGAGAUGAACUCCAUAUUCAAGUUACCCCGGAGUCAGCAAACAUGCUGCUACAGCAAUACCGUCACUGGUAUUAUCAAGUUAUGGAAGGUAAUAGGGUUCCUGACCAUCCAACUCCCCUCACCAGAAACUAUUCAGAUGAUCUUUUGUCGCACUUUGGAGAAGCUAGUUUGCACAGGACUGUGCUGAAAAUGGAAACCAAGACGCCAAAAGUAAAGCAUUAAAAAUGUACAAAUUAUUA